GGGAGGCGGUGGUGCUUGCCUAUGCUGACGACCGGCGCACGGGUGCGUAACGCGUAUAGAACCUACCUUAUAUUGGGGGAUAGCCCAGAGAAAUUUGGAUUAAUACCCCAUAGUAUUAAGAGAUGGCAUCAUUUUUUAAUUAAAGAUUUAUCGAUAUAAGAUGGCUAUGCGUCCUAUUAGCUAGUUGGUAUGGUAACGGCAUACCAAGGCGACGAUAGGUAGGGGUCCUGAGAGGGAGAUCCCCCACACUGGUACUGAGACACGGACCAGACUCCUACGGGAGGCAGCAGUGAGGAAUAUUGGACAAUGGAGGCAACUCUGAUCCAGCCAUGCCGCGUGUAGGAAGACUGCCCUAUGGGCUGUAAACUACUUUUAUAUAGGAAGAAACCGCUCUACGUGUAGAGCUCUGACGGUACUAUAAGAAUAAGCAUCGGCUAACUCCGUGCCAGCAGCCGCGGUAAUACGGAGGAUGCAAGCGUUAUCCGGAAUCAUUGGGUUUAAAGGGUCCGUGGGCGGGUUUGUAAGUCAGUGGUGAAAGUUUGCGGCUCAACCGUAAAAUUGCCAUUGAUACUGCAAGUCUUGAAUCAUUGUGAAGUGGUUAGAAUAUGUAGUGUAGCGGUGAAAUGCAUAGAUAUCACAUAGAAUACCGA
rnacentral:rRNA from 1 species